rnacentral:misc_RNA from 1 species
AAGUCGUAACAAGGUUUCCGUAGGUGAACCUGCGGAAGGAUCAUUAUCACGUAUCCAAACGUAUAAACCCAAUGUGCACCUAAAACUAUCCUCCUUUUAGGAUUUCAUGAAGUGGCGGAGAAGUUGAUAUUCUGAUUCAUGGUCUUUCAGAAUUCUCCGUCGUGACUAACUUCGGUCAGUCAGCCUUCUAAUCCGGGAGUCGUAUCAAACCAUGCUUGUUUUACUAUAACAACUUGUACCUUUCUGAACUAACUUUGGUUUUGAAAUAGAGAUACUACACGCAAGUGUGGCCUUCUUCUAGUUCUGACCUUGAUUUAUAUAAACUCUGAACUACUCUUAACAACGGAUAUCUUGGUUCUC